rnacentral:tRNA from 1 species
AGCCACGUAGCCCAGUGGUAACGCUUCCGCCUCGUAAGCGGUAGAUCGGGGUUCAGGUGUCCGCGUGGUUU